rnacentral:rRNA from 1 species
GCGUACCUACGGGGCGCAGCAGUGGGGAAUAUUGCACAAUGGGGGAAACCCUGAUGCAGCAACGCCGCGUGAAGGAAGACGGUUUUCGGAUUGUAAACUUCUGUUCUUAGUGAAGAAAAAUGACGGUAGCUAGGGAGCAAGCCACGGCUAACUACGUGCCAGCAGCCGCGGUAAUACGUAGGUGGCAAGCGUUGUCCGGAAUUACUGGGUGUAAAGGGAGCGCAGGCGGGAAGCCAAGUCAGCUGUGAAAACUACGGGCUUAACUUGUAGCCUGCAGUUGAAACUGGUUUUCUUGUGU